GACGAACGCUGGCGGCGUGCUUAACACAUGCAAGUCGAACGGAAAGGCCCUGCUUUUGUGGGGUGCUCGAGUGGCGAACGGGUGAGUAACACGUGAGUAACCUGCCCUUGACUUUGGGAUAACUUCAGGAAACUGGGGCUAAUACCGGAUAGGAGCUCCUGCUGCAUGGUGGGGGUUGGAAAGUUUCGGCGGUUGGGGAUGGACUCGCGGCUUAUCAGCUUGUUGGUGGGGUAGUGGCUUACCAAGGCUUUGACGGGUAGCCGGCCUGAGAGGGUGACCGGCCACAAUGGGACUGAGGAUCGGGCCAGACUCCUACGGGAGGCAGCAGUGGGGAAUAUUGCACAAUGGGCGGAAGCCUGAUGCAGCAACGCCGCGUGCGGGAUGACGGCCUUCGGGUUGUAAACCGCUUUCGCCUGUGACGAAGCGUGAGUGACGGUAAUGGGUAAAGAAGCACCGGCUAACUACGUG
rnacentral:rRNA from 1 species